AAUGAGCUGUUGCGCAGCCAUUGGUACCUGUAUUGGGGAAACAUAGCAUACAAGCAAGAAGCUUACAGCCUCUGUGGCGAAAAUUUUUUCAUGUCAGAGACCGAGAACUCUUGCAGUUGUUUAUGUCAUCCCUUCUUCUCCAGACAGAAGAUACCAAAAAGUUGCAAUCAAAGAUCUCUUCAUCUUAUUGAUAAAGUCACUAAUAAGCCAAAAUGUCUGUCAACGUCAACCUCAGCGUGUCAGACCAGUUCUAUCGCUACAAGAUGCCCCGUUUGAUUGCUAAGGUUGAGGGCAAAGGAAAUGGAAUCAAGACAGUUAUAGUCAACAUGGUUGACGUUGCAAAGGCGCUUAAUCGGCCUCCAACGUAUCCCACCAAAUAUUUUGGUUGUGAGCUGGGAGCACAGACCCAGUUUGAUGUUAAGAAUGACCGUUACAUUGUCAAUGGAUCUCAUGAGGCGAAUAAGCUGCAAGACAUGUUGGAUGGAUUCAUUAAAAAAUUUGUUCUCUGUCCUGAGUGUGAGAAUCCUGAAACAGGUCUGCAUGUCAAUCCAAAGAAGCAAACAAUAGGUAAUUCCUGUAAAGCCUGUGGGUACCGAGGCAUGCUUGACACACAUCAUAAACUCUGUACAUUCAUUCUCAAAAACCCACCUGAGAAUAGUGACAUUGGUACAGGAAAGAAAGAAAAGGAAAAGAAAAAUAGAAAGGGCAAGGACAAGGAAAAUGGCUCUGAAUCCACCAGGGAGACACCACCACCUCCACUACCAAAUGAAAUUAGUCCUCCACAUGCUGUGGAAGAAGAGGAAGAUGAUGACUAGGGGGAGGAUACAACUGAGGAAGCUCAAAGGCGAAGAAUGGAUGAAAUCAGUGACCAUGCAAAAGGUCUGACACUUAGUGAUGAUUUGGAAAGAACUGUAGAAGAGUGUGUUAACAUCCUGUUUGAUUUUGUUAAGAAAAAGAAAGAAGAGGGCAUUAUUGAUUCAUCUGAUAAAGAAAUUGUGGCUGGGGCAGAAAGGCUGGAUGUAAAAGCCAUGGGUCCUCUUGUUUUGACAGAAGUUCUCUUUGAUGAGAAAAUAAGAGAGCAAAUCAAGAAAUACAGGCGCCAUUUUCUAAGAUUUUGUCAUAACCACAAAAAGGCUCAGCGGUACCUUCUUCAUGGUUUGGAAUGUGUGGUAGCAACGCAUCAAGCUCAGCUGAUCUCCAAGAUUCCACGUAUCUUGAAGGCGAUGUAUGAUGCAGACCUUUUAGAAGAGGAGGUCAUUAUCAGCUGGUCAGAAAAGGCCUCUAAGAAAUACAUCUCAAAAGAACUUGCCAAAGAGGUUUGUGUCAAAGCAGAGCCAUUUAUUGAAUGGUUGAAGGAAGCAGAGGAAGAGUCUCCUGGUGGUGAGGAAGAAGACGAAGACGAAAACAUUGAGGUGGUAUAUUCGAAAACUGCCAGUGUACCAAAAGUUGAAACUGUGAAGUCUGACAACAAGGAUGAUGACAUUGAUAUUGACGCCAUUUCAGAGGAUGGAUGCAACUUAGCUUAA